rnacentral:rRNA from 1 species
UACGAAGGGGGGCUAGCGUUGUUCGGAAUUACUGGGCGUAAAGCGCGCGCAGGCGGCUAUCCAAGUCAGUGGUGAAAGCCCGGAGCUCAACUCCGGAACUGCCAUUGAAACUGUUUAGCUUGAGGAUGAGAGAGGUGAGUGGAAUUCCCAGUGUAGAGGUGAAAUUCGUAGAUAUUGGGAAGAACACCGGUGGCGAAGGCGGCUCACUGGGCCGAUACUGACGCUGAGGAGCGAAAGCGUGGGGAGCGAACAGG